rnacentral:rRNA from 1 species
AUCUACAGCCAUACCACCCUGAAUAUGCCCGAUCUCAUCUGACCUUAGGAGGUAAGCAGAGUCAGGCAUGGAUAAUAUGUGGAUGAGAGAAGCACUAUAUAUU